GUAAGACAGAUGGUCGCUGCCGCAGAACCGAAAGGCUGCGGGAGAGGAAAGUCCGGGCUUCGCAGGGCAGGAUGCCAGAUAACGUCUGGUGGGGGCGACCCUAAGGACAGUGCAACAGAAAUAAACCGCCGCAUUUUGCGGUAAGGGUGGAAAGGCAGUGUAAGAGACUACCGCCUGACUGGUAACAGGCAGGGCACAUGUAAACCCCAUCCGAAGCAAGACCGAACAGGAGGCAUAAGGCGGCCCGUCUGCCUCCGGGUAGGUCGCUUGAAACUGCCGGUGACGGCAGUUCUAGAUAGAUGACCAUCCAACGACAUAACCCGGCUUACCGUCUUACUCA
rnacentral:RNase_P_RNA from 1 species